GACGAACGCUGGCGGCGUGCUUAACACAUGCAAGUCGAACGAGAAGAGAUGAGAAGCUUGCUUCUUAUCAAUUCGAGUGGCAAACGGGUGAGUAACGCGUAAGCAACCUGCCCUUNAGAUGGGGACAACAGCUGGAAACGGCUGCUAAUACCGAAUACGUCUUUUUGUCGCAUGGCAGAGGGGAAGAAAGGGAGGGCUCUUCGGAGCUUUCGCUGAAGAGGGGCUUGCGUCUGAUUAGCUAGUUGGAGGGGUAACGGCCCACCAAGGCGACGAUCGGUAGGGGUUCUGAGAGGAAGGUCCCCCACAUUGGAACUGAGACACGGGUCCAAAACUCCUACGGGAGGCAGCAGUGAGGAAUAUUGGUCAAUGGGUGAGAGCCUGAACCAGCCAAGUAGCGUGCAGGACGAC
rnacentral:rRNA from 1 species